UGGGGGAAUAUUGCACAAUGGGCGAAAGCCUGAUGCAGCAACGCCGCGUGAGGGACGACGGCCUUCGGGUUGUAAACCUCUUUUAGCAAGGAAGAAGCGAAAGUGACGGUACUUGCAGAAAAAGCGCCGGCUAACUACGUGCCAGCAGCCGCGGUAAUACGUAGGGCGCAAGCGUUAUCCGGAAUUAUUGGGCGUAAAGAGCUCGUAGGCGGUUUGUCGCGUCUGCUGUGAAAACCCGAGGCUCAACCUCGGGCCUGCAGUGGGUACGGGCAGACUAGAGUGCGGUAGGGGGAGAUUGGAACUCCUGGUGUAGCGGUGGAAUGCGCAGAUAUCAGGAAGAACACCGAUGGCGAAGGCAGAUCUCUGGGCCGUAACUGACGCUGAGGAGCGAAAGGGUGGGGAGCAAAACAGGCUUAGAUACCCUGGUAGUCCACCCGUAAACGUUGGGAACUAGUUGUGGGGUCCAUUCCACGGAUUCCGUGACGCAGCUAACGCAUUAAGUUCCCCGCCUGGGGAGUAC
rnacentral:rRNA from 1 species